rnacentral:tRNA from 1 species
UAAAAUGGCUGAGUAAGCAUUAGACUGUAAAUCUAAAGACAGAGGUUUGAGUCCUCUUUUUACCA